GGUGGCGAUGGCGGGGUGGAAACACCUGUACCCAUCCCGAACACAGAAGUUAAGCACCCCAGCGGCGACGAUAGUUGGCCUUGCGCCUGCGAAAAUAGCUCGCUGCC
rnacentral:rRNA from 1 species